rnacentral:rRNA from 1 species
ACGCUCGACACCUACGGAGGCAGCAGUAGGGAAUCUUCCACAAUGGGCGCAAGCCUGAUGGAGCAACACCGCGUGAGUGAAGAAGGGUUUCGGCUCGUAAAGCUCUGUUGUUGGAGAAGAACGUGCGUGAGAGUAACUGUUCACGCAGUGACGGUAUCCAACCAGAAAGUCACGGCUAACUACGUGCCCGCAGCCGCGGUAAUCUGAGCGGGCUGGCAAGGC